rnacentral:rRNA from 1 species
AUUGAACGCUGGCGGCAUGCUUUACACAUGCAAGUCGAACGGCAGCGCGGGCUUCGGCCUGGCGGCGAGUGGCGAACGGGUGAGUAAUGCAUCGGAACGUGCCCAGUAGUGGGGGAUAGCCCGGCGAAAGCCGGAUUAAUACCGCAUACCACCUGAGGGUGAAAGCGGGGGACCGAAAGGCCUCGCGCUAUUGGAGCCGCCGAUGUCGGAUUAGCUAGUUGGUGGGGUAAAGGCUUACCAAGGCGACGAUCCGUAGCUGGUCUGAGAGGACGACCAGCCACACUGGGACUGAGACACGGCCCAGACUCCUACGGGAGGCAGCAGUGGGGAAUUUUGGACAAUGGGGGCAACCCUGAUCCAGCCAUGCCGCGUGCGGGAAGAAGGCCUUCGGGUUGUAAACCGCUUUUGUUCGGGAAGAAAUCCUCUGGGCUAAUACCCCGGGGGGAUGACGGUACCGGAAGAAUAAGCACCGGCUAACUACGUG